GUUAGCCUACGGGACGCAGCAGUGGGGAAUAUUGCACAAUGGGGGAAACCCUGAUGCAGCGACGCCGCGUGAGUGAAGAAGUAUCUCGGUACGUAAAGCUCUAUCAGCAGGGAAGAAAAAAAGUCCUUUGGACUUUGGACGGUACCUGACCAAGAAGCCCCGGCUAACUACGUGCCAGCAGCCGCGGUAAUACGUAGGGGGCAAGCGUUAUCCGGAUUUACUGGGUGUAAAGGGAGCGUAGACGGCAGCGCAAGUCUGGAGUGAAAUGCCGGGGCCCAACCCCGGAACUGCUUUGCAAACUGUGC
rnacentral:rRNA from 1 species